rnacentral:rRNA from 1 species
UACAGAGGGUGCAAGCGUUGUUCGGAAUUAUUGGGCGUAAAGCGCGUGUAGGCGGCUUUGCAAGUCGGAUGUGAAAGCCCUCGGCUCAACCGAGGAAGUGCGUUCGAAACUGCAGAGCUUGAGUACCGGAGAGGGUGGCGGAAUUCCCCAAGUAGAGGUGAAAUUCGUAGAUAUGGGGAGGAACACCGGGUGGCGAAGGCGGCCACC